UGAUCACCUUGAAGAUGAGAUUUAUGUUUGUGGUCACACAGCUGUUUGGAGUUCUCGCUCUGGAGACUCGAAAGUCUUGCACAAAUCUUUCACUGUGGAAUUGCCAAUCACAGCUGCCUUGUGGUGCGUGCUUCGUACUAUAGACACAACUUAACUAUACGUGCGAGACAGAGAGUGUUCUUGAUGUUCAAGUGUGUGAAUCUAUUGGCGGAUGUGACUGAGCUGAUAAUGAACAAGAAGAUCUAAUUAAGUGGAACAACCAAUCUAGAAUAUAUGUACACAAAGUCACGAACUAAACACAUCUCUUCAUCUACUACGACCAUUUCUAGUUUUU